rnacentral:rRNA from 1 species
UACAGAGGGUGCGAGCGUUAAUCGGAUUUACUGGGCGUAAAGCGUGCGUAGGUGGCUGUUUAAGUCGGAUGUGAAAGCCCUGGGCUUAACCUGGGAACUGCAUUCGAUACUGGAUAGCUAGAGUUCGGUAGAGGGCGGCGGAAUUCCGGGUGUAGCGGUGAAAUGCGUAGAUAUCCGGAGGAACACCGAUGGCGAAGGCAACCGCCUGGGCCUGAACUGACACUGAGGCACGAAAGCGUGGGGAGCAAACAGG